AUAAGUAGGAUGACACUUCUCAGUGAGCAUUAUGAUAAGGGUCACCGUGGGCGGCUUAUGGCGGAUGAGAGACAGGUCUUUUGUCCCCUGCGCCUAAGGGCUCAUGAGGCUUCAUCCAAUAAGAUGAGAUAUGAUGAGCGGUACACACAGUACAUUGAGAGGCUGGGACUCCUUCCGUUCAUCCAGCUGGUCACUCGGUCGACGCCAAGCAUGAACCCUUGUGCGAUCACCGCGCUUGUUGACCGCUGGAGGCUGGAGACUCACAGUUUUCACCUCCGGACUGGGGAGAUGACUGUGACUCUCUAG
rnacentral:rRNA from 1 species